rnacentral:rRNA from 1 species
GACGAACGCUGGCGGCGCGCCUAACACAUGCAAGUCGAACGAGCGAGAGAGAGCUUGCUUUCUCAAGCGAGUGGCGAACGGGUGAGUAACGCGCGAGGAACCUGCCUCAAAGAGGGGGACAACAGUUGGAAACGACUGCUAAUACCGCAUAAGCCCACGACCCGGCAUCGGGUAGAGGGAAAAGGAGCAAUCCGCUUUGAGAUGGCCUCGCGUCCGAUUAGCUAGUUGGUGAGGUAACGGCCCACCAAGGCGACGAUCGGUAGCCGGACUGAGAGGUUGAACGGCCACAUUGGGACUGAGACACGGCCCAGACUCCUACGGGAGGCAGCAGUGGGGAAUAUUGCACAAUGGGGGAAACCCUGAUGCAGCGACGCCGCGUGGAGGAAGAAGGUCUUCGGAUUGUAAACUCCUGUUGUUGAGGAAGAUAAUGACGGUACUCAACAAAGAAGUGACGGCUAACUACGUG